GGGAGGGGAGCUUGGGGCAGGGUCUGGGGCAGAGCGAGGGUCAAGCACCCCCCUGGGAACUGGAGAAGUCGGCACCUCUGUGCAGGCUAAACCACUCCAGUGCUGAGAGUCAGAGAGUCUGAGGCCAGAAGGGAACCACGUCAUCUAAUCUGACCCCCGUAUAGCACAGGCCACCAACCCCACCCAGCACCCACCUAACCCAACCCCCAACAGUAGCCCAAAGCACGACAGCCUACAGCAGACGGGGCUAUUUAUGCGCCACAGGCAGAGAAGAGGAGGCACCGAGGUGCACCAGUGCCCGAGGCCCUACAAUGCAGGGAAAUGAUUCAGUGAGAUACCCCCAAAUAAUCCUGGUACUUCACCCACAUCCGCAUGCUGUGGAGGAAGGUGAAAACCCUCCCCCUCAUUGUCACUGCCAGUCUGACCUGAGGGAAAAUAGCCCUCCAGUGUCUUCCCAUGAUUCCCCUGUGAAAGACAGUCCGGGUACCCCACGAAUCACUGGGAAAGAAACACAGAAUAGCUCAGCUUACAGUGGCACCAUCAGCCAUGGGAUGUGCUCCCAGAAGUCCUAGAGACUCGCCAACACCAGUGAGGACACAGUAAGUGAGGUCAGGCUCAGCAGCAUGGCUCCUUGCACCCAGCCUAGGCUAACCUGGGUGCCGAUCCCCAGGGUUCACUCUGCAGUGCAGACAGACCCUUCCGGGCAGGGCUCAGCCCUAGGGGAGACUAGGACCAUUUAUCAUGCUUCCCAGUAACACUGGGCUGGCCGGGGUGGGCCCUGAUAGUCAGUCUUGAGGAGCUGCCUGUUGGCUGAAGCUGAGCAGGAAAGUCCCUGUCGUUCCCGCCAGGCAUCUAAGAGGUACUGUUCGGGGAGGUGACAAACUGGGAUAUUUCUGUAAUUUUUAUAU